rnacentral:rRNA from 1 species
AUUGAACGCUGGCGGCAGGCCUAACACAUGCAAGUCGAACGAGUGGCGGACGGGUGAGUAAUGUCUGGGAAACUGCCUGAUGGAGGGGGAUAACUACUGGAAACGGUAGCUAAUACCGCAUACCAUCGGAUGUGCCCAGCUGGGAUUAGCUAGUAGGUGGGGUAAAGGCUCACCUAGGCGACGAUGCCUAUCUGGUCUGAGAGGAUGACCAGCCACACGGGAACUGAGACACGGCCCAGACUCCUACGGGAGGAAGCAGUGGUGAAUAUUGCACAAUGGGCGAAAGCCUGAGGCAGCCAUGCCGCGUGUAUGAAGAAGGCCUUCGGGUUGUAAAGUACUUUCAGCGGGGAGGCGUUACCCGCAGAAGAAGCACCGGCUAACUCCGUGCCAGCAGCCGCGGUAAUAC